GAUGAAGAACGCAGCGAAAUGCGAUAAGUAAUGUGAAUUGCAGAAUUCCGUGAAUCAUCGAGUCUUUGAACGCACAUUGCGCCCCCUGGUAUUCCGGGGGGCAUGCCUGUCCGAGCGUCAUUGCUGCCCUCAAGCACGGCUUGUGUGUUGGGCCUCAGUCCUCCUCCCGGGGGACGGGCCCGAAAGGCAGCGGCGGCACCGCGUCCGGUCCUCGAGCGUAUGGGGCUUCGUCACCCGCUCUUGUAGGCCCGGCCGGCGCUUGCCGACACAUCAAUCUUUUUUCCAGGUUGACCUCGGAUCAGGUAGGGAUACCCGCUGAACUUAAGCAUAUCAAUAAGCGGAGGA
rnacentral:misc_RNA from 1 species